AUUGAGCGCUGGCGGCAGGCCUAACACAUGCAAGUCGAGCGGAUGAAGGGAGCUUGCUCCUGGAUUCAGCGGCGGACGGGUGAGUAAUGCCUAGGAAUCUGCCUGGUAGUGGGGGAUAACGUCCGGAAACGGGCGCUAAUACCGCAUACGUCCUGAGGGAGAAAGUGGGGGAUCUUCGGACCUCACGCUAUCAGAUGAGCCUAGGUCGGAUUAGCUAGUUGGUGGGGUAAAGGCCUACCAAGGCGACGAUCCGUAACUGGUCUGAGGGGAUGAUCAGUCACACUGGAACUGAGACACGGUCCAGACUCCUACGGGAGGCAGCAGUGGGGAAUAUUGGACAAUGGGCGAAAGCCUGAUCCAGCCAUGGCGCGUGUGUGAAGAAGGUCUUCGGAUUGUAAAGCACUUUAAGUUGGGAGGAAGGGCAGUAAGUUAAUACCUUGCUGUUUUGACGUUACCAACAGAAUAAGCACCGGCUAACUUCGUG
rnacentral:rRNA from 1 species